rnacentral:rRNA from 1 species
AAGAGCGCUUUUGUUAGCCCAAAACCAAUCCGGGUUCGCCCGUCAAACGGCGGCCNGGCCCAACGUGGUGACUCCGAACAACUUUGUGCCGAUCGCAUGGCCCUAGCGGCGGCGACGCAUCUUUCAAGUGUCUGCCCUAUCAACUUUCGAUGGUACGUGCUAUGCCUACCAUGGUGAUAACGGGUAACGGGGAAUCAGGGUUCGGUUCCGGAGAGGGAGCAUGAGAUACGGCUACCACAUCCAAGGAAGGCAGCAGGCGCGCAAAUUACCCACUCCGACACGGGGAGGUAGUGACGAAAAAUAACAAUACGGGACUCUUUCGAGGCCUCGUAAUUGGAAUGAGUACACUUUAAAUCCUUU